rnacentral:rRNA from 1 species
UAUGAAGUUGGAAUCGCUAGUAAUCGCGGAUCAGCAUGCCGCGGUGAAUACGUUCCCGGGCCUUGUACACACCGCCCGUCACACCAUGAGAGUCGGGAACACCCGAAGUCCGUAGUCUAACUUUCACGAGAGGACGCGGCCGAAGGUGGGUUCGAUAAUUGGGGUGAAGUCGUAACAAGGUACC